rnacentral:rRNA from 1 species
UACGGAGGAUGCAAGCGUUAUCCGGAAUGAUUGGGCGUAAAGCGUCCGCAGGUGGCUAUGUAAGUCUGCUGUUAAAGAGUGAGGCUCAACCUCAUAAGAGCAGUGGAAACUACAUGGCUAGAGUGCGUUCGGGGCAGAGGGAAUUCCUGGUGUAGCGGUGAAAUGCGUAGACGAUCAGGAAGAACACCCGUGGCUAAGGCGGCUCUCUAGUACGGUACUGGACGCUGAGACGCGAAAGCGUGGGGAGCGAACAGG